UGGGGUGUGGCUCAGGGUAGAGCCCUGGCCUAGCAUGGGCGGGCCCUGGGUUCCAACCCCAGCACUGCAA
rnacentral:tRNA from 1 species